rnacentral:rRNA from 1 species
UACGGAGGGGGCUAGCGUUGUUCGGAAUUACUGGGCGUAAAGCGCACGUAGGCGGCUUUGUAAGUUAGAGGUGAAAGCCCGGGGCUCAACUCCGGAAUUGCCUUUAAGACUGCAUCGCUAGAAUUGUGGAGAGGUAAGUGGAAUUCCGAGUGUAGAGGUGAAAUGCGUAGAGAUGUGGAGGAACACCGAUGGCGAAGGCAGCCCCCCUGGGCUAACACUGACGCUCAUGCACGAAAGCGUGGGGAGCAAACAGG